UACCAGCACAGCCAAUGUGUUUCCAAAGAACUUCCUCCAAUUUUAGCUUUCAUGAAGUAUUUUCAUCUGCCUUUGAACUGCACUGUCUAAUGAAUUACUGGAGAGACACAAAAGGGUUCGACCCCAGCCAUCUGUCAACCACUGAGGGAAUAUGGAAUCCACAAAGCAGACCACCCGUGUGAAGUAAAUCAUCACUUCAGCCUUUCCAUGGAUCCUGGUGGAUUAGCUGCACCCUGCUCUUAACAUAAAUAACAUCCAACCACUUCCGCGAGCUGACUGCAGAGCUGACCUUCAUAUAUUGACACAGA